rnacentral:sRNA from 1 species
UUUUGCGGUCACACGCAAUCAAUACAACUUUCAACAACGGAUCUCUUGGCUCUCGCAUCGAUGAAGAACGCAGCGAAAUGCGAUACGUAAUGUGAAUUGCAGAAUUCAGUGAAUCAUCGAAUCUUUGAACGCACCUCGCGCCCCUUGGCAUUCCGAGGGGCACACCCGUUUGAGUGUCGUGAAAUCUUCAAAACCCCUUUUUCUUUGGUCCAUUUUUGGUCGGGAAAAAGGAUUUUUGGACUUGGAGGUUCAAUGCUUGCCUCGAAAGCGAGCUCCUCUUAAAUGAAUUAGUGGGGUCCGCUUUGCUGAUCCUCGACGUGAUAAGAUGUUUCUACGUUUUGGGUUUAGCACUGUCCCUUGGAUGCCUGCUCCUAACUGUCUCAUGGACAAUGAUGGUGCUCUGGUCACCGCUGUCUACAUCGGCGGAAGG